rnacentral:rRNA from 1 species
UACAGAGGGGGCAAGCGUUGUCCGGAUUUACUGGGCGUACAGCGCGCGCAGGCGGUUGCGUAUGUGAGCGGUGACAUCCGCGGGCUCAACCCGCGGCGGCCCGCUUACACAGCGCGACUGGAGGCAGGGAGAGGGAUGUGGGAUACCCGGUGGAGCGGUGAAAUGCGUAGAGAUCGGGUGGAACACCAGCGGCGAAGGCGGCAUCCUGGCCCUGUACUGACGCUGAGGCGCGAUAGCGUGGGGAGCAAACGGG